CAGCAACCUAUUGUGCUUGAGUCUUCUUUUGUGAUCGGAGAGCAUAAAGUCUAAUUUCUGCUGCAGAGUCCAAUAGUGUGACGUCAACAGGUAGCGUGGAAAGUAAAUGGCCAGAGGAAAAAUAAUGUAAUUCGUAAACGGGACAGCCGACAGUAGAAACAACGGCGACAAUUUUCGCAGAUCUUUCGGCAUCGUGUGCAUCAGCUGCAGCUCCUCUCGCGUUAAGUUAUCGGUGCCGUUCAAUCCCUGUUUCUUGAUCGCGGAUACGAAUUUCUUCAGGUCCGCGUACACGUCUUUGCUGCCGACGCUGAACACGCGGUACACCUGCAUCGUACGUGGGAAUCUCUGCUCGAGCGUGCUCUCGUAGUUCUUGAUGUAAUUCAUGUACCUGCCGAACCAGUAUUUUUUCAUGUUAGCCACUUUGCCGGGCUCGUCCGCGCUCUUCACCGCUUUGACAAGUCCUCGUUGUAUCGGGAUGCGUUUCAAAGGCUCCAACGCGGUUUUACUCUCCCGGACGAACAUCCUGGAUAUCAUUUUGUACAUUUUGAGACCCUGAAUCGAUGCUGGAAAAAAUGCAAACACAAGCGCUAUAUUACGCUACCACGAUCAGCUGUUUCCUCCGCGAUCAGCUGAUCCCGAAGGAUCUCUCGCUUUCGAACGUUCUAUUAUUAGUUUAUUAGUGGAGUAUUUUGCGAAAAUUCUUGAAAUUUUUGUUUUAUUAUUAUUAAUCUUUGCGUUUUAUAUUGUGAUAAUGUUUGUGAUAAAUUAUAUCGUUACAAUCUUGUAACGCAUCAAAUGUGCAGUUUUGUGGGUUAUUUUUUCCGAACGAAGCAACAGCAAACGACGAUGAUGAGGAGCAGUCGCAUGCUGAAGUGCGACGUUGAGAAGAUGGUUUCAAAGAACGAGAUUACGAAUCUAAAUUCGAUUACAAAAAUUAUUACAGUGGACAUAAAGAAGUUUUAUCAUCUGCUACAACCAGAGAAUCAAAAUAAUACCUUUCAAAGCUGCCACACCAUUGGCGGAGGAAUGAAAACCUGAUGGCAUUGCACUUAAUGCUGUUUGGCCAAAAACAGCUAUAUAUACUGCUGCAAUGGACAUGUUGACAGGUUUAGAUUCAAGUAAUGCUUGCCGAAAAUCAGAAAUUAUAUGGCAGCUGUUUAUGCCUUGCUUUGUAAAAAUAGCAAAUCUACUACUGGCGAGUUUCUGAUCGACGAAAACAUAUUAAGAAACGAGGGCAUUACUGAUUUUACAAACUAUGCAUGUAAUCCAGAGCAAUCAAGGACAAGUUAAUGAUGGAUUUCUUUUUGGAUGAUGAUAACAAUACUUUAAACAUCGAAGAUAAGAAACAAAAUUCAGACAAAAUAAUAACAAUGAAGUGGGACAGAUGGAACGUAUAUUUAUUGCAAUUAAUCAUUAUUUAAUUAUAUGUAUAUAUAUAAUGAUCUAGUAAAAAAAAAAAAGAAAAAACUGAACUAACGCAAUAUAUCAAUUUAAUGUAAAAGAAAACGAAGCUGGUAUCUAGAUUUAAAAAAUCUGCGACAUUUUC